AUUUUUAUAAUAAUAGUAGUAAAAAAAUAUGAUGUUACAUUUGAUAGUAAGCAAAUAACAUUGAAACUUCGAUCUUGGCUUGCGAUGUGCGUAUUCUGCUGAUAAGAACGGUUAUUCAUUAUUUUAUCGUUUUAUUUUAAUCAGUUCGCUGGCAAGAGGUAUUUGAGUUAGUCGACAUGAAGCUGUUAUUAAUUGUAUUCCAACUUUUAUUUUUUAUAUUUUGUUUUAAUUUGCCAUCAAAUCAUGUUUCAACAAAAUACAUACAAACUAAUAUUAUACGAUUAACUAAUUGUCCUAAGGGUUAUGUAUUUCAUAACGGAAGAUGCCGUAAAUUAUCGACUAGAGUAUAAUUUGAAGCUAUUUACACCCAGUCCGCAAAAAUUUCAACUACAAAUACUAAAAAUCACACGACUAGCACGACAAAUAGUGUAACUACCAUGACAAUGUCUGGCAAUGCUAACACAACGACGAUUCGCCCAACUGGUACGACAAUUCGACAAACAAGUACAACAAUACGCCCAACUAGUACAACAAUUCGCCCAACUAGUACAACGAUUCGCCCAACUAGUACAACGAUUCGCCCAACUAAUACAACCAAUACAACUAGUACGGAGCUGCCUAAUGAUUUGCAUAGAAGAGUAUUAGUUUCUAUAAAAACUCGAAUCGAUUGUCCAUCAGGUCAAAUAUACGCAGGAGGUUUGUGUAGAUCUCCAUCAUAAUACAUUAUUUUAGUUUUGAUAGUUAUUAGUUAUGAUUUUAUUUAAAUAUGGAAAAUACUUAUUAAAUUUAAAAAUAAUUAAUUUGGUUUUUGUGUUUUGAAUAAAUUACAUUUUUUUGAAAUAUA